UGUGUGCUGAAUAACUGCACCCAGAGCAUCUACGACUGAAAUCCUUUUGCUGGAGGUUUCUUCACUGCUGCAAAACUUGCGUUGUGUACUAAGAGAUCCUUGUUCACAUUUAUCCAUUAGUUUACGUUCAAGUUUUAUUUGGGAAGACCUGUAAAUGCUCUAAGCUGUCACAGAUCAUACCUGAUUCUAGCUUUCCACAGCUUUUUCCCUCGCCUGGGGAGCCUCAGGGAGGGAGGUGUGAGCACAGCACCAGACCCAGCCAUGCCCAAGGAUUAAAAAAAAUCGGUUUUGCUAUGACACGAAGAACACAGGGCACGCUGUCUCACACCUGCCCUGCUCCUUCCAGGGUGUAGUUAUCAGCUGGUAACGGACAGUCAAGGAAAAGCAAAGCAGCUGCCAUGCAAAAGCGCUUCAAGGGCUGCAUGCAAAGGCAGAACUCCGUGAAUGCUACAGAAACACGGCUACUCCAUCGUAACCCAACAAUUUGUCGUGGCUUUACAGUCCGUAUCAAACCUGCUUCCUGUGUCAGAAUACUAAGUAUAAAACAGUCUCGCUCCUCAUUCAAAUGCAGAAUAGGUUUUUACAUCAGAGUUGUUCUUGGCCAGAAGCCCGGUACCACAAGCUGUAUGAAAAUUGUCAGCGUUUCCGCGCAGCUACGGAAAUCAACAGCAAGAUUCCCGCUGUCUGCAAAUGAUCCGGUACUAGAGGUUCAUCUGUGAGCAUACCUCUCAACCAGGUCCCCGGAAUGGCAUCCACGUCCUCCAGCACAUCAUGCACUCCUCCAACUUACUGUCAUCCACAAACUCGAUGUGAGUGUGCUCACCCCAUCCACCUAGGUCAUCAGUGGUGACACUACACAGCUCCAGGCCAGGGACUGGCCCGAGGAACACCACCAGUUGGGGUCUGAAGAGGUUACCAGCCCAAUGCCAGCAGUUCCGUUACAUCUUUAAAUUAUCAUAAACUGGCACUUCAGCAGGAAGAUACAGUCCCAGUUUCUCUUCAGCAAGCAAAAACUUGAGAACAGACAGCACUGACAAGAAGCAACCAGGACACAGCAGCACAUUACUUCUUUUGGUGUAGACUUCCUGAUUUAUAUGCCACUCACGAAAUCACAGCCCUAGGAAUUACACCUUACAAUCAUGGGUCUUCAGCAUUAGUCUCUCUUUGUCACUUGACAGUAUAGAUAAAAUAAUCUCUUGCAACAAAAACAUGCAAUAAAGGUGUAAGAGCAACCAUGCUGGGACAACCAGAAGAUCCAGCUGCCCUCCUGCCUACCUGCACCUGCAUCCCCUCGACCCACAACAGAGGUAGCGUUCUGGUAACAGGCUUGACUCGGCUCCAUCUGGUAUUCCCAGGCCUGAGCUCCGGUUGUCAGAGCAGCAAUUAAACCUCAGAGCUAAACAAACGCAGAGAAGGAAGCACUGGCCACCAUGAAACAACAAAACAUGAAACCCAAAACGGAUCAAACUGAACUGAGCUAUGAUGAAUACCAUGAAGAUAAAAUAAGAAGUAGGAGGCAAGUUCACUGGUCUGUACCAUCACAUACAACCGAGUACCACAAAUUUAACUAUGAGACUUGUCCAUCUGUAAAUCAGCAUGCAGAUGAACUUCAUUUCUAAUAAAAUAUAUACAAAAACA